rnacentral:rRNA from 1 species
CAAUAGUGUAUAUUAAAGUUGUUGCGGUUAAAAAGCUCGUAGUUGGAUUUCUGCUGAGGACAACCGGUCCGCCCUCUGGGUGAGUAUCUGGCUUGGCUUUGGCAUCUUUCUGGACAGCGCAGCUGCACUUGACUGUGUGGUGCGGGGUCCAGGACUUUUACUUUGAGGAAAUUAGAGUGUUUCAAGCAGGCAUGCGCCUUGAAUACAUUAGCAUGGAAUAAUAAGAUAGGACUUCGGUUCUAUUUUGUUGGUUUCUAGAGCUGAAGUAAUGAUUAAUAGGGAUAGUUGGGGGCAUUCGUAUUUAACUGUCAGAGGUGAAAUUCUUGGAUUUGUUAAAGACGGACGACUGCGAAAGCAUUUGCCAAGGAUGUUUUCAUUGA